UCCAUUGAAGUUGUGAAUUGUUCCGUUUGAGAGACACCCAUAGAUAAGAUUUGUUGAACUGAAAAAAAGGCUCUGAAUCAGGAGUUGAUUAUUCUCCUUGAUGGAAUCGAUUCCUUUGGAUUCGACUCUCGAUUCCCAACGCCUCGGAAUUUCCAACAUUCCCACAUUCCCACAUUUCCCAGCCCUUCAGCGAGGACACUACGCAGAUAGAAAGAGAGAAAGCGUAGCUCGCUGGAUUUGAUCCGUUUUAUGUCCUAGAAAACAUUUGUACAGACAUUUCUCCGCUUGUUGAGUGUGACGUCACCGCUUCCGUGUCCAAUCAGAUCUCACGAGAAAACAACAAAAGGUCACACUGAACAGCAGAUUGUUGUUGUCCUCA